GAGCUUGCUUUUCUUAACUUAGUGGCGAGCGGGUGAGUAACGCGUGAGUAACCUGCCCUGGAGUGGGGGACAACAGUUGGAAACGACUGCUAAUACCGCAUAAGCCCACGGCCCGGCAUCGGGCUGAGGGAAAAGGAUUUAUUCGCUUCAGGAUGGACUCGCGUCCAAUUAGCUAGUUGGUGAGGUAACGGCCCACCAAGGCGACGAUUGGUAGCCGGACUGAGAGGUUGAACGGCCACAUUGGGACUGAGACACGGCCCAGACUCCUACGGGAGGCAGCAGUGGGGGAUAUUGCACAAUGGGGGAAACCCUGAUGCAGCGACGCCGCGUGGAGGAAGAAGGUUUUCGGAUUGUAAACUCCUGUCGUUAGGGACGAUAAUGACGGUACCUAACAAGAAAGCACCGGCUAACUACGUGCCAGCAGCCGCGGUAAAACGUAGGGUGCAAGCGUUGUCCGGAAUUACUGGGUGUAAAGGGAGCGCAGGCGGACCGGCAAGUUGGAAGUGAAAACUAUGGGCUCAACCCAUAAAUUGCUUUCAAAACUGCUGGCCUUGAGUAGUGCAGAGGUAGGUGGAAUUCCCGGUGUAGCGGUGGAAUGCGUAGAUAUCGGGAGGAACACCAGUGGCGAAAGCGACCUACUGGGCACCAACUGACGCUGAGGCUCGAAAGCAUGGGUAGCAAACAGGAUUAGAUACCCUGGUAGUCCAUG
rnacentral:rRNA from 1 species